UCCCCUCCUCCUUCGAGGUCGUUCUUCUUCAACAGAAGAACUCUAUCAUCAACAAGAAGAGAAGGCCCAACGCCUAGAAAAAACAAAAAAAUUGAUCGUAAACUCCAACUUCAAAAACAAAUAUUGACCUUACCUAAUUCCCAAUUUCCAAGAGCCUCUCACGCACACACACCCUUGAAACCUAGUGAAAAUAGGAGUGAUUUGCACCAAACAACAGCUCCAAAUGGUCCAGCAGUGAGGUUUAACGGAGGUCAUUCUCAAAGUGGCCGUUGAGGUAUCGAGUCGUCGGUUCAGUUCGAGUAUUCCGAUGUCGUUGUGGCUGCUAUUCAAGUUUGAUUGCUGAUUUGUUUUCAAUAUUUCUACGCGGUUGGGAUUUCUUUCAAGUAAUUAUAUAUAGAUUCAAUCCUUAAGAUUCGUGCUUUUACUGUUUUAUUUAAUAGCUUGAAAUCACUAUAUUUGUUGUUAUGUUGCCUUGUUUAUUUUUGUUUGGUUACAUUAUGAAACUGAUUUAUAUCGAUUUUCACGGAUUUUUAGUUCUAGUGUUACUUUGUGCUUAUGAAAUUUUGAUAAUUUUUUAUGAUGGAAGAAAACUGAUGAAAUUUUGUUUGUUCA
rnacentral:lncRNA from 1 species